CAGCGCUAGCUGCUGCUGUGAAUUCAUAAUAAGAAAGCCUAGACCUGCACAGGUCAGAAUACAGUGAUAUUCAGCAAAAUGUCAUACAGUGGAACCUCAGUUCUGAUAAGUGCUAACGACACAUCAAAGGAUCAUUUGGCAGUUGUGUGAGAUGAAGGCCUUUGGUGAGAAAUAACUAAUAGCUGAAGGAAUCUUUGGGAACCUUUGUGAAGUCUCCUUCAAGUGGAUAAACAUUCAGA